GACGAACGCUGGCGGCGUGCUUAACACAUGCAAGUCGAACGGAAAGGCCCUGCUUUUGUGGGGUGCUCGAGUGGCGAACGGGUGAGUAACACGUGAGUAACCUGCCCUUGACUUUGGGAUAACUUCAGGAAACUGGGGCUAAUACCGGAUAGGAGCUCCUGCUGCAUGGUGGGGGUUGGAAAGUUUCGGCGUUUGGGGAUGGACUCGCGGCUUAUCAGCUUGUUGGUGGGGUAGUGGCUUACCAAGGCUUUGACGGGUAGCCGGCCUGAGAGGGUGGCCGGCCACAUUGGGACUGAGAUACGGCCCAGACUCCUACGGGAGGCAGCAGUGGGGAAUAUUGCACAAUGGGCGGAAGCCUGAUGCAGCAACGCCGCGUGCGGGAUGACGGCCUUCGGGUUGUAAACCGCUUUCGCCUGUGACGAAGCGUGAGUGACGGUAAUGGGUAAAGAAGCACCGGCUAACUACGUG
rnacentral:rRNA from 1 species